GACGAACGCUGGCGGCGUGCCUAAUACAUGCAAGUCGAACGCAGUGGGGACGGGUGAGUAACACGUGGGUAACCUCCCAUCAGAGGGGAUAACACUUGGAAACAGGUGCUAAACCGCUACUGAUGGAUGGACCCGCGGUGCAUUAGCUAGUUGGUGAGGUAACGGCUCACCAAGGCCACGAUGCAUAGCCGACCGUAGAGGGGGAUCGGCCACACUGGGACUGAGACACGGCACAGACUCCUACGGGAGGAAGCAGUAGGGAAGCGUCGGCAAUGAACGAAAGUCCGACCGAACUACGCCGAGUGAGUGAAGAAGGGUUUCGGAGCGUAAAACUCUGUUGUUAGAGAAGCGGUAUCUAACCAGAAAGAAACGGCUAACUACGUGCCAGCAGCCGCGGUAAUAC
rnacentral:rRNA from 1 species